UACGUAGGGGGCUAGCGUUGUCCGGAAUCAUUGGGCGUAAAGAGCGUGUAGGCGGUCCGGUAAGUCCGCUGUGAAAGUCGGGGGCUCAACCCUCGAAUGCCGGUGGAUACUGUCGGGCUAGAGUGCGGAAGAGGUGAGUGGAAUUCCUGGUGUAGCGGUGAAAUGCGCAGAUAUCAGGAGGAACACCGGUGGCGAAGGCGCACAUCUGGCCCGAUACUGACGCUAAAGCGCGAAAGCUAGGGGAGCAAACGGG
rnacentral:rRNA from 1 species